UUAUGGCCAUAUCACAUUGAAACACUGGUUCCAGUAUGAUCACCGAAGUUAAGCAACAUCAAGCCUGGUUAGUACUUAGAUGGGUGACUGUUUGAGAAUACCAAGUGUUGCAA